UACGUAGGUGGCAAGCGUUGUUCGGAAUUAUUGGGCGUAAAGGGCGCGUAGGCGGUUUGUUAAGUCGGCUGUGAAAGCCCGGGGCUCAACCCCGGAGGGUCAGCCGAUACUGGCAGACUAGAGUACGGAAGAGGUAGCUGGAAUUCCCGGUGUAGCGGUGAAAUGCGCAGAUAUCAGGAAGAACACCCGUGGCGAAGGCGGUUCUCUGGGACGGUACUGACGCUCAGAGACGAAAGCAUGGGGAGCGAAUGGG
rnacentral:rRNA from 1 species